GACGAACGCUGGCGGCGUGCUUAACACAUGCAAGUCGAGCGGAAAGGCCCUUCGGGGUACUCGAGCGGCGAACGGGUGAGUAACACGUGAGUAACCUGCCCCAGACUUUGGGAUAACCCUCGGAAACGGGGGCUAAUACCGGAUACGACACAGCUUCGCAUGGGGUCUGUGUGGAAAGUUUUUCGGUUUGGGAUGGGCUCGCGGCCUUUCAGCUUGUUGGUGGGGUGAUGGCCUACCAAAGCGACGACGGGUAGCCGGCCUGAGAGGGCGACCGGCCACACUGGGACUGAGACACGGCCCAGACUCCUACGGGAGGCAGCAGUGGGGAAUAUUGCACAAUGGGCGGAAGCCUGAUGCAGCGACGCCGCGUGAGGGAUGACGGCCUUCGGGUUGUAAACCUCUUUCAGCAGGGACGAAGCGUAAGUGACGGUACCUGCAGAAGAAGCGCCGGCCAACUACGUG
rnacentral:rRNA from 1 species